rnacentral:tRNA from 1 species
UCUAAUAUGGCAGAAAAGUGCAAUGGACUUAAACCCCAUACAUAAAGCUUAUGCUUUUUUUAGAA